rnacentral:misc_RNA from 1 species
GAUGAAGAACGCAGUGAAAUGCGAUAAGUAAUGUGAAUUGCAGAAUUCAGUGAAUCAUCGAAUCUUUGAACGCGCCUUGCACCCUUUGGCUAUUCCGAAGGGUAUGCCUGUUUGAGUAUCAUGAACACCUCAACUCUCAUGGUUUGCCAUGAUGAGCUUGGACUUUGGGGGUCUUGCUGGCCUGUGGUCAGCUCCUCUCAAAUGGAUUAGCUUGCCAGUGUUUGGUGGCAUCACAGGUGUGAUAACUAUCUACGCUUGUGGUUUUCCACCAGGUAACCUUCAGCAAUGGGGGUUCGCUGGGGCUCAUAAAUGUCUCUCCUCAGCGAGGACAGCUCUUUGAACGUUUGAUCUCAAAUCAGGUAGGACUACCCGCUGAACUUAAGCAUAUCAAUAAGCGGAGGA